rnacentral:rRNA from 1 species
GCAGUCGACGGCAGCACGGGAGCAAUCCUGGUGGCGAGUGGCGAACGGGUGAGUAAUAUAUCGGAACGUGCCCAGUCGUGGGGGAUAACGUAGAGAAAUUUACGCUAAUACCGCAUACGAUCUAAGGAUGAAAGCGGGGGACCGUAAGGCCUCGCGCGAUUGGAGCGGCUGAUAUCAGAUUAGGUUGUUGGUGAGGUAAAAGCUCACCAAGCCGACGAUCUGUAGCUGGUUUGAGAGAACGACCAGCCACACUGGGACUGAGACACGGCCCAGACUCCUACGGGAGGCAGCAGUGGGGAAUAUUGGACAAUGGGCGGAAGCCUGAUCCAGCAACGCCGCGUGAGGGAUGACGGCCUUCGGGUUGUAAACCUCUUUCAGUAUUGACGAAGUCGCUCCUUUUUGGGGGUGGUGACGGUAGGUACAGAAGAAGCACCGGCCAACUACGUGCCAGCAGCCGCGGUAAUACGUAGGGUGCGAGCGUUGUCCGGAAUUAUUGGGCGUAAAGGGCUCGUAGGCGGUUUGUCGCGUCGGGAGUGAAAACCCAGGGCUUAACUCUGGGCUGGCUUUCGAUACGGGCAGACUAGAGGUAUGCAGGGGAGAACGGAAUUCCUGGUGUAGCGGUGAAAUGCGCAGAUAUCAGGAGGAACACCGGUGGCGAAGGCGGUUCUCUGGGCAUUACCUGACGCUGAGGAGCGAAAGUGUGGGGAGC